GUAACACGUGGGCAACCUGCCCUGAAGCGGGGGACAACAGUCCGAAAGGACUGCUAAUACCGCAUGUGGAUCCGGAUGGCAUCAUCUGUAUCCAAAGACUUCGGUCGCUUCAGGAUGGGCCCGCGGCCUAUCAGCUUGUUGGUGGGGUAACGGCUACCAAGGGUUCGACGGGUAGCUGGUCUGAAGGACGGCCAGCCGGAUUGGGACUGAAUACGGGCCAGAAUCCUACGGGGGGCAGCAUUAGGAAUCUUGCGCAAUGGGGGAAACCCUGACGCAGCGACGCCGCGUGAAGGAUGAAAUUCUUCGGAAUGUAAACUUCUUUUAUUUGGGAAGAAGAAUGUGACGGUACCAAAUGAAUAAGCCCCGGCUAACUACGUGCCAGCAGCCGCGGUAAUACGUAGGGGGCGAGCGUUGUCCGAAUUUACUGGGCGUAAGGAGCAUUAAGGCGGUUUCUUAAGUGAGAGGUGAAAGGUUCGGGCUUAACCCGAACACUGCCUUUCAUACUGGGAGACUUGAGUGCGGGAGAGG
rnacentral:rRNA from 1 species